CGCGGUAAUACGGAAGGUCCGGGCGUUAUCCGGAUUUAUUGGGUUUAAAGGGAGCGUAGGCCGCAUGUCAAGCGUGUUGUGAAAUGCAGGUGCUCAACACCUGGAUUGCAGCGCGAACUGUCGUGCUUGAGUGUGCGCAACGUUGGCGGAAUUCGUCGUGUAGCGGUGAAAUGCUUAGAUAUGACGAGGAACCCCGAUUGCGAAGGCAGCUGACGGGAGCAUAACUGACGCUGAAGCUCGAAGGUGCGGGUAUCGAACAGGAUUAGAUACCCUGGUAGUCCGCACGGUAAACGAUGGAUGCCCGCCGUCCGCCCUUUUAUUGGGCGUGUGGCCAAGCGAAAGCAUUAAGCAUCCCACCUGGGGAGUACGCCGGCAACGGUGAAACUCAAAGGAAUUGACGGGGGCCCGCACAAGCGGAGGAACAUGUGGUUUAAUUCGAUGAUACGCGAGGAACCUUACCCGGGCUUGAA
rnacentral:rRNA from 1 species